AACUUACCCAUAACUGAUGAAUAGCCCUCCGAAAGGAGGAUUAAUACAUCGUAACAUAAUGAAAGGGCAUCCUUUUAUUAUUAUAGCUCCGGCGGUUAUGGAUGGGCGUGCGGCUGAUUAGGUAGUUGGCGGAGUAAUAGCCCACCAAGCCUACGAUCAGUAACUGGUGUGAGAGCACGACCAGUCACACGGGCACUGAGACACGGGCCCGACUCCUACGGGAGGCAGCAGUAAGGAAUAUUGGUCAAUGGACGCAAGUCUGAACCAGCCAUGCCGCGUGAAG
rnacentral:rRNA from 1 species